UGGUAUUCUUGAUUUAAACUUAUAAAACUUAAGUAAUAAACAGUUAUUAGCUUGAAACUUAAAGGAUUUGGCGGUGUUUUAGUCUUGUUAGAGGAACCUGUCCUGUAAUCGAUAAACCACGAAGAAUCUUACUUCAUCUAGUAAUAUCCAGUUUGUAUACCGCCAUUAUCAGAUGUCCUUGUUAAAGGUUCAUUGUAAUAUGUUUUAUGUAUAUAGAAAAUUAGGUCAAGGUGCAGCUCAUGGUGGAGUGUGAGAUGGGUUACAUUUCAUUGUAAAUUAUGAAGUAAGAGUUGAAAUACUUUUAUGAAAGUGGAUUUAAUAGUAAUGUUUAUUUAACAUGUUAAUGUGAUAUUAGCUCUAAAAUAUGUA
rnacentral:rRNA from 1 species